GACGAACGCUAGCGGCAUGCUUAACACAUGCAAGUCGAACGAAGUGGCGAACGGGUGAGUAACGCGUAAUCAACCUGCCCUUCAGAGGGGAACAACAGUUGGAAACGACGGCUAAUACCGCAUCCUGAAGAAGGGGAUUGCGUUGGAUUAGCUAGGUGGGGGGGUAACGGCCAACCAAGGCGAGGAUCAGUAGCCGGUCUGGGAGGGGGAACGGCCACAAUGGGACUGGGAAAAGGCCCAGAAUUCCAAGGGAGGGAGGAGUGGGGAAUCUUCCGAAAUUGACGAAAGUCUGACGGAGCAAAGCCGCCUGGUUUAUGACGGCCUUCGGGUUGGAAAGCUCUGUUAAUCGGGACGCGGUACCGGAAUAGAAAGCCACGGCUAACUACGUGCCAGCAGCCGCGGUAAUUC
rnacentral:rRNA from 1 species